UUCUUUGUCCGUUGCUA
rnacentral:misc_RNA from 1 species